UUCUGUAUAUAUCUACUAAGUCCAUCUGGUCUAAUGUGUCCUUUAAGGCGAGUGUUUCCUUAUUGAUCUUCUGUUUGGAUGAUUUAUCCGUUGGUGUAAGUGGAGUGUUAAAGCCCCCUACUAUUAUUGUGUUACUAUUUCGCCUCUUAUGUCUGUUAAUAAUUGCUUUAUAUGUUUAGAUGCUCCUAUGUUGGGUGUGUAGAUAUUUACAAGUGUUAUAUUUUCUUGUUGGAUUGUUCCCUUUAUCAUUAUGUAGUGCCUGUCUUUGUCUCUUAUUACAGUUUUUGAUUUAAAGUCUAUUUUGUCUGAUAUAAGUAUUGCUACCUCUGCUUUCUUUUCUUUGCCAUUUGUAUGGAAUAUUUUUUUCCAUCCUUUCACUUUCAGUUUGUGAGUGUCUGUAGGUCUGAAGUGUGUCUCUUGUAUGCUGCAUAUACAUGGGUCUUGUUUGUUUAUCCAGUUGCCACCCUAUGGCAUUUGAUUGGAGCAUUUAGUCCAUUGACAUUUAAAGUAGCUAUUGAUAAAUAUGUAUUUAUUGCCAUCCUGUCACUUUUUUUUUCUGGGUGUUUUAGUAGUUCUUCUCUGUUCCUGUCUUUUUCUCUUGCUCUCUUCCCUUGUGGUUUGAUGGCUAUCUUUAGUAAUAUGUUUGAUUGCUUUUGCCUUACUUUUUUUCAUGCUUGCUUUAGGUUUCUGAUUUGUGGUUACCAUGAGGAUCCUAUUUAAUAUACUAUGCAUAUAACAGUCUAUAUUGAGUAGAUAGUCUCUUUAGCUUGACCUCUUUCUAAAGGCUCUACUUUUUCACUCCCCUCCUCCCACAUUAUAUGUUCUUCACAUCAUAUAUAGUCUCUUCUUUAGUGUGUGUCUAUCCAUUACUCUCUUAUCAUUGAAAUAGGUGAUUUUAGUACAUUUGUCUUUUAACCUUCAUAUUAUCUUCACAGGUAGUUGAUCUGCUGCCUUUACUAUAUUUUUACCUUACAAGUGAUUUUAUUGCAUUUUUUUUAUUGUUGUUGUUUUGGGGUUUUUUGAUAAUUUUUUUUAUCUCUAUUUGUGGUCGUUGCUUUCCCACUUAAAUAAGUCCCUUCAGCAUUUAUUGUAAGGCUGGUUUCUUAGUGAUAAACUCCUUUAAUUUUGGCUUGUCUGAUAAGGUGUUUAUCUCUCCUUCCAUCCUAAAUGACAACCUUGAUAGAUAGAGUAUUCUUGGCUUUUUUCUUUUUAGCACUUUAGAUAUGUUGUGCCAUUCUCUUCUCGCCUGUAGGGUCUCGACUGAGAAGUCCGCUGAUAGCCUGAUGGGCUUCCCUUUAUAUGUCACUUGUGGCCCUUCUCUUGCUGCUUUUAGGAUUCUCUCUUUGUCUUUAAUUUUGGACAUUUUGAUUAUAAUAUGUCUUGGUGUGGGCCUCUUUGGGCUUCUCUUGUUUGGAGCUCUCUGUGCUUCCUGAACUUGGAUGUCUGUUUCCUUCCUCAGGUUAGGAAAAUUUUCCUCUAUUAUUUCAACAAAUAAAUUUUCUGCCCCUUUGUCUCUCUCUUCUCCUUCUGGGACCCCUAUAAUCCAAAUGUUAGCACGCUUGAUAUUGUCCCAGAGUUCUCUUACACUGUUCUCAUUCUGUCUAAUUUUCAUUUCUUUUCUGUUCUGCUUGGGUGAUUUCCUCUAGUCUUUCAUCUAGCUCGCUGAUCCAUUCUUCUGCUUCCAAUACUCUGCUAUUGAGUCCCUCUAGUGAAUUUCUCAUUUUGAGUAUUGUAUUCUUCAUUUCUGAUUGGUUUUUUUAAUUUUUUUUCCCAUGGUUGGUUUUUUUUGUUUUGUUUUUUAAAGAUUUUAUUUUUUCCUUUUUCUCCCCAAAGCCCCCAGUACAUAGUUGUAUAGUCUUCGUUGUGGGUCCUUCUAGUUGUGGCAUGUGGGACGCUGCCUCAGCGUGGUUUGAUGAGCAGUGCCAUGUCCACGCCCAGGAUUCAAACUGACGAAACACUGGGCUGCCAGCAGCAGAGCGCACAAACUUAACCACUCAGCCAUGGGGCCAGGCCCCAUGAUUGUUUUUUUUUUAUAUCUUCCAGUUCUUUUCUGAUGUGCUCACUGUGUUCAUCCAUUCUUCUCUGCAUAUCUGUAAGCAUCCUCAGGAUAUUUUGUUUGAACUUUUUGUCAAGUAGGUCGCUAGUUUCUGUUUCACUCAGUCCUUUUUCUGGGGUUUUGUACUGUUCCCUUGCUUGGAAAGUAUUCCUUUGCCUCCUCAUUAUGCCUCUUUCUCUGUGCUAUUUUCUUUGUAGUAGGUGAGUCGACUAAGUCUCCUGAUCUUGGAGAAGUGGCCUUAUGUAUGAGAUGCCUUAUGAGGCCCAGCAGUGUGCUUCCCUCUCAUCACCAGUCCAUAAGAACCAGGAGUGACCCCUUUGUGGGCUACUUGUGUCCUUCUGCUGUGGCAGGGUUGCUCCCACUGCAGGUACCUAGGGAGUCUGAUCUUUCCUUCCCUGGCCAGCUGUUUGUAAAUCCAGUUUGGGGAGCCUCAGCACUGUUGGCUGCAAAAUCUAUCAGCACUCUCUGAUUGCAGUUUUCCUCUUAAUUGGGUUGGUGCCCAGUGUAGCUGGUUGCUAGGCUCAGGGGCAUACAGUUGUGAUAGGCCUCAGGCCAACAAGGCUGUUGUCAGUUUCCUUAGGAGUGCAGCUGAGUGGGGCUAGCCCUUGGCAGGGGGCACUCAAUUGUUUCAGGCUUUGGAAGGUGGGGCUGACCUUUUUUAUGGCUAUUUGUGAAGCACAAGUCUUCUGAUAAGCCUCACCCCCCACAGGACCACAUACACUGUCAACACAGUCCUGGUCUGUGCAAACUUUUCAACCCCCUGGAGCAUACCCCAACGCCACACUGCAGAGGCUCCCAUCUCUCACCCACAGUUCACCUGGUCCUCACACAGGUCCUGCCCCACAGAGGCAGACACCCUUGCCUGCCUGUAGAGGAUCAAGGGACCCAGUCAAUACAGGCUGAAAAGUAGCCUGAGGGCUUGCUGUUAGGUGGGGCCAGUCCCUAGGGUGGGCUGCCUGCCCUGGCUGAACUGAAUUAAAUCUGUGCUCUGGUAGGCGUGGCAGACCCCUGGGCCAACAGCCCAAGGGACAAACCUCAAUGGCCCCCACCGGGCCAUAUCAGCACGCCUGGACCAGGUCAGAACAAUGGCCCCCACCAAUGUGCCAGUCUCCGGAGAGGUCCCUCCUCUCACCAAGAUGCCCCCAGAGCCCACCAGCUGCUAUGGUAUGAUUGGAUCUAUGAAGAGACCCAGGGAGACAGGAACAGAGGGAGGCCUCCAAACAACAGCCAGUGAGAAACUGAGACCCUCUGUCCAACAGUCCAUGAGGAACUGAAUCCUGUCAGCAACCACGUGAGUAACAGUGACUUUGGAAACGGAUUCUACCUCAGAUUGAGAGGAACUGUACUCAAGGAGCUGUACUUAUGGAAGUAUUCCUAAGAGGCCUCAGCAAAACCUGGAUCUGACUUAAAUAAUGAGGUUCUAGACAUUGAACUGAUACUGUAAUGUCUUACUCUUGGGUAGGGCCAGCAUCCCUAGGGAGAGGCCCAUAAAGGAAAGAACUUAAGGAAGCCUCACACUAACAACCAGCAAGGAACUGAGACCCUCUGUGCAACGUCCCUUGAAGAAGUGAAUCCUACCAACAACCAUGCCAAAGAGUGCCCCUUCUGGCUGCGUACCCACUUAUAUAACCCCUACACAGAAGUCAAUGGGUGUUCCAGGCAGCAGCAAAACAGAUGUGGCUGCUGGGGUGGGGUGGAAGACGAUGACCAGCAUACAGAUUGCUGUGCUUAUGUUCUGCGUCGACAUCUGAUAUGGCUAUUCUUGUCUGUGUUUACAUGUCCCAUUCAUCUGGUUCAACCAGACAGAGUUUUACUAAUAUUAUUGAUGGUUGCCAUAACAACAAGCAUGUGAAUAUACUUUAGCUAAGAAAUUGUGACAAGUAUUUGGUUGAUCACAGUCCGUAAAUUGCAUAGAGGGAUGAUCUCCAGGGGUGAAGGGGGAUGGAAUAGGACAUCACCAGAUGGACACUUGCUUUGAUCUCAUUGAGGAAAUUUACAUAGUGAUUUCUCCUGAAAAAGUUCCUUUCCAGGGGCUUCCUCUGGAAAUUUGGAGCUGUUUGAUCCUUGGAGAAUAGCCAGUAACUCAACCAAAGACUCUUCUUAGACCAUAAAUAGCAUUCUGAGUUUGCAUCCUCCAUUUCCAUCACUCUCCCUCUCCUGAUCUUCUCAGUCUCUUCAGUAUUCAAGAAACUAAUGGAACAAAGUCAAAUACUAGAAAUUGGGUAAUCUUCCUUUGCUUCUUUUAGCUCUGGCUUCUUAGGUGACAUUCCUUUUGAUCACAGAUACUUCCUAAAAAUAUACUGGAUAUUGUGGAGUUGGGGGAGAAAAAGGGGCAAGAUGGUGGAUAUCAAAGACCUGGAAAACAACCUCUGCCAUUGAUGAAUUUGUGGUCAUGCUUGAGAGGCAGGGUGACUGAAGGGGUUCCUGAGGUGUGGGGCUUUUCGCUUUAUAACCAGGAAAGUCCAAGGCAAACCAGGAUGAGUUAGAGACUCUAUGAAGUGAGUCUGAGAAAUUCACUUCACCUACGUAGACCUCAUUUCUCCCAACUCUAAAAAUGAAUUAAAAAUUUUAUUUCCUUUGCCUUAUUCUCAGUAAACCAUAUACAAAAGAAGAAAACAAUACAUGAAAUCCUUUAAAAAAAAAAAAAGAGUACAGAGAUGCCAGCCAUAUCUGAUCCUAGAGUAUUGGCUUCAGAGAGACAGGGAAUUGGGUCUCCUUGGUGAAACACCUUAACAUCCAAGACCUCAAACACUUAGCUUCUCCCUAUGGUGCACCUGAUCUCUUUGAGACAAUGCAGUACUAUUUAAUAAGCUGACUCCCCAAAGGUGUCUAAGUGAUUCCCAGGAUGUAGGUCACACACUGGAAGAAUCGCAUUCAACCAAUGUUGAACAACCAAGCUUAAAACUCCCAACACACAGCUGCAUGUUUAAGAUGAAUAAGACAUCAUUGGUGAAAUAUUUUUAUUACAAGGGGUUACGACUUAAACACAGCAAAAAAGAUAUUGGAUUGAGGUGUUCCAUUUAAUGUAUUGGUUGAGAAGGGAGUGAGAGAGGGUAAGGGGAAGAGACAGAAGAGUCAUCCUAUGGUGAUUUCAUCCCACCAUUCCUCUUCCAGUGAGAUAAGAGCAGUCAUUGGGCUUAAGAUUAUCCAUUAUUCAUUUUCUCUAAAGAAGUAGGAGUGCUAUGAGAAUUACGGAUUAGUGCAGGGGAGGGGUAUACUCAAAGACUCCUGGUCUCCCAAUUUAGAACACAGUUGGGAGAAGGAAGGAGCAGAGCCUUCCCCUCCAGAACAAUAACAGCGGCAACACUAGCCACCCACCUUGGCUCAGCUCAGCCCAUAGAGAAAAAGAUACUCCACCCAAGCCCUGUCAGAGCUUAUUGGCUUUGUGUGAAUGAGGUUGAGGAGAGAGCUAUGAUGCUUUGAGGCUACACAGAUAAUCCAUCACUUUCCUCUCUGUGCCCAGGAAGGCUUGUGACAUGUGUCCCAAGAAAAAGAUACGAUGAAGUCCAAACCCCUGGUACCUGUGAAUGUGACCUUAUCUGGAAAUAAGAUCUUUUCAGAUACAAUCAAGUUAAGAUGAGAUCACACUGAAUUAGAGUGGGCCCUAAUCUAAUGACUAGGGUCCUUAUAAGAAGAUGAAAUUUGAACACAAAGAGACACAAGAACAACAUAUGAUGACAAACACAGAGAUUAGAGUGAUGCAUCUGCAAGCCCAGGAAUGCCAAGAAUUACUGGCAAUCACCAGAAGCUAAGAGAAAGGCGUGGAACAGGCUCUCCCUCAGACGGAACCUCUCUGACACCUUGUUUGUGGAAUUUUG
ensembl:lncRNA